GCACCACAACAGGUGGAGCCUGCGGUUUAAUCGGACUCAACGCCGGGAAACUCACCAGAUAAGACAGCUGAAUGAUAGUCGGGCUGAAGACUCUACUUGACUAGCUGAGAGGAGGUGCAUGGCCGUCGUCAGUUCGUACUGUGAAGCAUCCUGUUAAGUCAGGCAACGAGCGAGACCCACGCCAACAGUUGCCAGCUCGUCCUCCGGGAUGGUGGGGACACUGUUGGGACCGCCUCUGCUAAAGAGGAAGAAGGAAUGGGCAACGGUAGGUCAGCAUGCCCCGAAUUAUCUGGGCUACACGCGGGCUACAAUGGGUGGGACAAUGGGUAUCGACACCGAAAGGUGAAGGCAAUCUCCUAAACCCAUCCGUAGUUCGGAUUGUGGGCUGCAACUCGCCCACAUGAAGCUGGAAUCUGUAGUAAUCGUGUCUCAAAAUGGCACGGUGAAUAUGUCCCUGCUCCUU
rnacentral:rRNA from 1 species